rnacentral:rRNA from 1 species
AGCGAACGCUGGCGGCAGGCCUAACACAUGCAAGUCGAACGGACCCUUCGGGGUUAGUGGCGGACGGGUGAGUAACACGUGGGAACGUGCCUUUUGGUUCGGAAUAGCUCCUGGAAACGGGUGGUAAUGCCGAAUGUGCCCUUUGGGGGAAAGAUUUAUCGCCAUUAGAGCGGCCCGCGUCUGAUUAGCUAGUUGGUGAGGUAAAGGCUCACCAAGGCGACGAUCAGUAGCUGGUCUGAGAGGAUGACCAGCCACAUUGGGACUGAGACACGGCCCAAACUCCUACGGGAGGCAGCAGUGGGGAAUCCUGCGCAAUGGGCGAAAGCCCGACGCAGCCAUGCCGCGUGAAUGAUGAAGGUCUUAGGAUUGUAAAAUUCUUUCACCGGGGACGAUAAUGACGGUACCCGGAGAAGAAGCCCCGGCUAACUUCGUGCCAGCCGCCGCCGUAACAC